GAUUAACGCUAGCGGCAGGCAUAAUACAUGCAAGUUGAACGGCAGCACAGGUAGCAAUACUGGGUGGCGAGUGGCGCACGGGUGCGUAACACGUAUGCAACCUACCCUAUACAGGCGAAUAACCUUUAGAAAUGAGGGCUAAUACGCCGUAGUAUUACAGAUGGGCAUCUAUUUGUAAUUAAAGAUUUAUCGGUAUCGGAUGGGCAUGCGUCCCAUUAGUUAGUUGGUAAGGUAACGGCUUACCAAGACGAUGAUGGGUAGGGGAUCUGAGAGGACUUACCCCCACACUGGUACUGAGACACGGACCAGACUCCUACGGGAGGCAGCAGUAAGGAAUAUUGGGCAAUGGCCGCGAGGCUGACCCAGCCAUGCCGCGUGCAGGAAGACGGCCUUAUGGGUUGUAAACUGCUUUUAUACGGGAAGAAUAGAGUGUACGCGUACAUUUAUGCAAGUAUCGUAUGAAUAAGCAUCGGCUAACUCCGUG
rnacentral:rRNA from 1 species